AUCUGCCCAGAGCUCCUAAAGCAGCUCAUUUUUGGGAGCAUGUGCCCAGUUCUGGAGUGACCUCACUGCAGAUGUGAAAUCCACAGGGAUGGGCUGGAUCUGCCCAGAGCUCCUAAAGCAGCUCAGUUUUGGGAGCCCAGCUCUGGAAUGACCUCACUGCAGAGCUCCCCUGGAGGUUGGAAAUCCACAGGGAUGGGCU
rnacentral:lncRNA from 1 species